rnacentral:rRNA from 1 species
GAUGAACGCUAGCGGCAGGCCUAAUACAUGCAAGUCGAACGGUCCACUUCGGUGGAUGGUGGCGCACGGGUGCGUAACACGUAUGCAACCUACCUUACAUUGGGGGAUAGCCUUUCGAAAGGGAGAUUAAUACCGCAUAAGACAGUAACAUGGCAUCAUGUAGCUGUUAAAGAUUUAUCGAUGUAAGCUGGGCAUGCGUCCAAUUAGUUAGUUGGUGAGGUAAUGGCUCACCAAGACGAUGAUUGGUAGGGGAACUGAGAGGUCAAUCCCCCACACUGGCACUGAGAUACGGGCCAGACUCCUACGGGAGGCAGCAGUAGGGAAUAUUGGGCAAUGGACGCAAGUCUGACCCAGCCAUGCCGCGUGCAGGAAGAAGGCGUUCUGCGUUGUAAACUGCUUUUGUACCUGAAGAAACCUGUUUACGAGUAGACAGUUGCCGGUAAGGUAUGAAUAAGCAUCGGCUAACUCCGUGCCAGCCGCCGCAGUAAAAC